rnacentral:rRNA from 1 species
UACAGAGGUCUCAAGCGUUGUUCGGAUUCAUUGGGCGUAAAGGGUGCGUAGGUGGCGUCGUAAGUCAGGUGUGAAAUCUCGGGGCUCAACCCCGAAACUGCACUUGAUACUGCGAUGCUCGAGUACUGGAGAGGAGAUUGGAAUUUACGGUGUAGCAGUGAAAUGCGUAGAUAUCGUAAGGAAGGCCAGUGGCGAAGGCGAAUCUCUGGACAGUUACUGACACUGAGGCACGAAGGCCAGGGGAGCAAACGGG